rnacentral:rRNA from 1 species
AGAGUUUGAUCAUGGCUCAGGAUGAACGCUGGCGGCGUGCCUAACACAUGCAAGUCGAACGCUCGCAAGAGAGUGGCGCACGGGUGAGUAACACGUAGCUAAUCUGCCCUCAAGACAAGGAUAACUGUAGGAAACUACUGCUAAUACUUGAUAAGCUUACGGACUGUAGAGGCCUAUAAGAAAAGAUUUAUCGCUUGAGGAUGAGGCUGCGCGCCAUCAGCUAGUUGGUAAGGUAAUGGCUUACCAAGGCGACGACGGCUAGGGGACCUGAGAGGGUGACCCCCCCACACUGGGACUGAGACACGGCCCAGACUCCUACGGGAGGCAGUAGUGAGGAAUAUUGCUCAAUGGGCGCAAGCCUGAAGCAGCGACGCCGCGUGGAUGAAGAAGGUUUUCGGACUGUAAAAUCCUUUUCUGUGUGACGAGAGUGGACGGUAGCACAGGAAUAAGUCUCGGCUAACUACGUG